rnacentral:misc_RNA from 1 species
AAGUCGUAACAAGGUUUCCGUAGGUAGCAGUUUUUGCCUACCCAACGAGUGCAGGGCAGUCCCGCUUUGCAGUCUCUUCGGAGGCGACACGCUCAACGUGCGGAAAAAUCCUCCUGGGAGGGAAAUCCGCACUCCUACCCGGAGUUCAGAGACUCAAUGAGUGUGGGCUCUUCUGGAGCUUGAGAUAGAGCCCGUCCCGGCAGGCAACUGCCGGCGGUCAACGGACCUGCGGAAGGAUCAUAAGAAUGACGUCUCGGAGCUAGAUUCUUCACCCUGUGUAUACCUAUCUGUGUUGCUUUGGCACGGCGCCAGGCGCCUGCCAGAGGUUAAACCCCUUGAAUUGCUUGCAGUCUGAGUACUAUCGUAAUAGUUAAA